rnacentral:lncRNA from 1 species
CUAGCUUUUAUAUAUUAACUUGUGAUCAGAGCAACUGAUAUAUUACAUAUCCAUUCGAUGUUUAUCACCAGAAGUUAGUUCUACCUUUGCAGUACCUCUGCUCUACAUACCUCCUCGCUGGUUAAAGAAUGGAAUAUAAAUCUCAUAUCAAGUUGGUGUAAAAAUUUAGUUCAAUAAAUUAAGAAUUUAUAAA